UUUAGCACAGGUGUAUGGAGGGUGGCAUUUUCUCUCUCUGCGAAGAUUAUUGAAGCCAUUUCCUGUUUGGCUUCCUGCAAAAGGGUCUUCAUCCCAAACAAUAACCAUGGCGGCCACUGAAAUAGCUAGGCAAGCGGGAGAAGGUGCUCGCGCCGUCCCUCUCGCCGGCCAUGUCGGUUUCGACAGCAUGCCUGACCAGCUGGUCAACAAGUCUGUCAACCACGGCUUUUGCUUCAACAUCCUCUGCAUUGGGGAGACGGGCCUGGGCAAGUCCACUCUCAUGGACACCCUGUUCAACACCAAGUUCGAGGGUGAACCCACCCAGCACAACCAGCCGGGCGUGCAGCUCAAGUCCAACACCUACGAGCUCCAGGAGAGCAAUGUGCGUCUCAAGCUGACCGUGGUCAACACUGUGGGCUUUGGAGACCAGAUCAACAAAGAGGACAGCUACAAGUCUAUUGUGGAGUUUAUCGACACCCAGUUUGAGGCCUAUCUGCAGGAGGAGCUGAAAAUCAAGCGCACGUUACACAGCUACCAUGACACACGCAUCCAUGCCUGUCUGUAUUUCAUCGCGCCCACCGGACACUCCCUCAAGUCCCUGGACCUGGUCACUAUGAAGAAACUGGACAGCAAGGUCAACAUCAUCCCCAUCAUCGCCAAAUCAGACGCCAUCUCCAAAAGCGAGCUGACCAAGUUCAAGAUCAAGAUCACCAGUGAGCUGGUCAGCAACGGUGUUCUGAUCUACCAAUUCCCCAUCGACGAUGAGACGGUGGCAGAGAUCAACUCCACCAUGAACGCCCAUUUGCCGUUCGCCGUGGUGGGAAGCACGGAGGAAGUGAAGAUCGGCAACAAGAUGGUGAAAGCGCGGCAGUACCCCUGGGGGACUGUACAGGUGGAGAAUGAAAACCACUGUGACUUUGUGAAGCUGAGAGAGAUGCUAAUCAGGGUGAACAUGGAGGAUCUUAGAGAGCAGACUCACACCAGACACUACGAGCUCUACCGUCGCUGCAAGCUGGAGGAGAUGGGCUUCAAGGACACAGACCCUGACUGCAAACCCUUCAGUCUGCAGGAGACGUACGAGGCCAAGAGGAACGAGUUCAUGGGAGAGCUGCAGAAGAAAGAGGAAGAGAUGAGGCAGAUGUUCGUCCAAAGAGUCAAGGAAAAGGAGGCUGAGCUGAAGGAGGCCGAGAAAGAGGUUUGUCUGCACGAGAAGUUUGACCGGCUCAAGAAGCUGCACCAGGAUGAGAAGAAGAAGCUGGAGGACAAGAAGAAAUCCCUGGAUGACGAGCUCAACGGGUUCAAGCAGAAAAAGACGGCCGCUGAGCUCCUACAGUCCCAGGCUCUGCAGGCAGGGGGCUCCACCACACUCAAGAGGGACAAGGAGAGGAAAAACUGAUGUGAGCCCUGUCACCGGCCCUGUUAGAAAGAAAGAAGACACUUGCACUGAGAAAGUUAAGGAUUCCUGUAGGAAUGAUUUUUCACCCCAUCCCUGGCAGUGCCAUGCUGCUCUCUGUGCCCUCCAGCCCCCCCCUCUCCCCCAUUCCAAACCCCACACAUGCCCCUGCACUGUGGAAGAAUCCAGCCAUUACUGUGAAUUGGAAUCCUUGACUCAAACACAUAAUUUUUGCGCUAAAGAUGCUUGUUUUUGUACGUUCUUUUUGUUACGAGCCAUCAUCCUCUGUUUGCCUGUUUGCUUUCUGUUGGAAAGUAGAUUUAUUUUCUUGUUGUUUUUGUUGUUGACCUGUUCUGCAUGACUGAGUGUGUUUUUCACUUUUACAUGCACAACUACUGCACAACUAUUGUUGUGACAGGCAGGAGUUUGUGGAGGCUAAGGUGAAAUGUAUAUCAGCUGUGGUCUGACCAGGCCAGUGGAGUGGGUGUGUUUGUGUGUGUGUGGACACAUGUUUACUAUACUUGUAAGUACCUGAAGUCCUCUCAAGAAUAGUAAACCAACUAAAAUUCAGAGAAGUGAGGACAUUUUGUUGGUCCUCACUUGUAAUAUGACUAUUUUAGGGUUAGAUUUUGGGUUCGAAUUAGGGUUAGGGGUUAAGAUUAGGUUAAGAGUUAGGGUUAGAGGUUAAGAUUAGGUUAAGAGUUAGGGUUAGAGGUUAAGAUUAGGUUAAGAGUUAGGGUUAGAGGUUAAGAUUAGGUUAAGAGUUAGGGUUAGAGGUUAAGAUUAGGUUAAGGGUUAGAGGUUAAGAUUAGGUUAAGAGUUAGGGUUAGCGGUUAGGGAAAAUUAGAUUUUGAAUGGAAAUCAGUUGUUUGUCCCCCGAAAGACCUCACUAGUAUAGUAAGACAUAGCUGUUUGUGAGCGUACUCAUUAGCAUCUUCCGGUCCAUGUUUCAGACCACCACUAUUCUACUCACUACCAGGGUAUAAUCAACCACUCCAAUAGUAUGACAUUAUGACGAUGUGCGCUGAUAUCGUGUUGCAAUAUAAUGUGUAAUUAUUGAAAAUGAAGAUACUAUUAUUGUAUGUUUUGAAUGAGGGCAUGUUGUCCACCACCUAUCAAGAGAGUAGCCUAGUUCCAGAUCUGUUUGUGUUUUUGCCUGCUCGUAACAUGGCAUGAAUAAUGAGUGACAGGGAGUUGGCAUGAUAGCACAAACAGACUGGCACUCAGGCUAUGGAGAGAGUGAGUGUUAGUCAACUGCUGAUGUUAUUUCAUCUUAGCCUAGUGCAUGUGCAAAUAUGAAUGAUUUCUUGUCAUGUCUGCCCAUUCCUCAUUGUUUUUCAUAUACUGUACGCUAUCUGCAUACUUGUUAGCUUUUCACGUUUGCACAUUUUACAUUUUACACAAAUGUGAUUUUGUAUAUUUCCAGUGCAAUUGUGACUUUUAGAUUUCUUUCUACAUAUAACAUCAUAUUUGAAGCCUUUUAACCAAAUAACAAUAAUGUAGGGAUCAGUAUUGCACUUGUAUCAGUGUUACACAAAAAAUACUUCAUCUCCAAGGGAAAUAAAGAGGGAAUUUCACCAAAUA